GGGGGGGGAAUGAGUUUUAAAUAGUAAUAUUUAGGAGAAUGUGUGGUAGGGAAAAAAUUUUGGUCUUGUGUGAUGUCAAACAGGCACUUUGUUUCAUGAUAUCAUUAUCUACUACUGUACAGUAGAGCUUACAAAAUACAGCAUAAUGCUAUUGUUUUAUAAAGUAAUUUCUUUCCCAAAUCAACUUCCCAUAUUUCCAGUUCACAUCUCAUUUUCCCCUUCAGCCCUGCCCCUUGGUUGUGGUAAUAUUAAUCUUUCUAAUUAAUUUAUUACAUUAAAAUUGGAUCUAUCGUUAUUUGCGUAUAAGCUGAUUUUCAGUUGAAUUGAAUUUAGGGGAUCGUGAAGAAUAAAAGUUCAUCUGCUUGUUUAAGAAUGAGGAUAGCUGAUUUUCGAGAAUUGAAAAUUGAUGAGAUGAUCUCAGCUCAAUUCAUGUAUUUCAAUGCAAGGCUUCCAUGGUGCCAUCUAUUAUAUUAAGAAAAAUGUUGUUCGCAAUUCAUUAGCUAAUGUUGAGUGUUGAGGCAAUUAUUUUUUGUAUUAAGCCCCCUGCACAGCCCCUUUGCACAGGGCUUGUACAGGGGCUCUCACAUGGAGGGUGGAGCACCCCAAUGUGUGUGCACUUGUACAGAUUCUGUGCAAACGGGUCUGUGUAGGUAGCACAGUUGUUAUUUUUUGGCUGAUUUGAGCUUUAAGAAUAGGAGAAGAAUGUUUGACUUUUAGUGAAUACUGAUAAAUGUUAUGAUCAAGUUGAUCAAAGCUCAGAGAUAAUUAUAGAGUUUUGUUUGAUCCUUGUGUAUACGAAUGAGGCCUAAAAAGACUAUAGGAGUUCCAAUUAAAGUCUUCCCCGUUUGGGCCAUGGUGCUAUUUUGAAGAUGACUUGAUGAUUUCCUCACCAUUCCCAUAAUGUAGGUCCAAAUUUCUGUCUGAUUCCCUGUACCCUUUUGUUUGUUAAGGGAUAAUCGG
rnacentral:lncRNA from 1 species